rnacentral:tRNA from 1 species
UGGGUUGUGGACUAAUGGUAAGUCACCGACUUUUGAUGUCGGCUUAUGGGAGUUCGAACCUUCCCAACCCAG